rfam:Crassostrea gigas strain 05x7-T-G4-1.051#20 contig10244, whole genome shotgun sequence.
CCCUUUCUAUUUCGAUCGGUAGAGUGCUGGACUGGCGUGCCAGAGGACCUGGGUUCAAACCCCAGCAGAGGCA